CGUCAAUGGGGGAAACCUUGAACGAGCAAUGCCGCGUGAGUGAAGAAGGUCUUCGGAUCGUAAAGCUCUGUUGUAAGUGAAGAACGGCUCAUAGAGGAAAUGCUAUGGGAGUGACGGUAGCUUACCAGAAAGCCACGGCUAACUACGUGCCAGCAGCCGCGGUAAUACGUGGGUGGCAAGCGUUAUCCGGAAUCAUUGGGCGUAAAGGGUGCGUAGGUGGCGUAUUAAGUCUGUAGUAAAAGGCAAUGGCUCAACCAUUGUAAGCUAUGGAAACUGGUAUGCUGGAGUGCAGAAGAGGGCGAUGGAAUCCCAUGUGUAGCGGUAAAAUGCGUAGAUAUAUGGAGGAACACCAGUGGCGAAGGCGGUCGCCUGGUCUGUAACUGACACUGAGGCACGAAAGCGUGGGGAGCAAAUAGGAUUAGAUACCCUAGUAGUCCACGCCCGUAAACGAUGAGAACUAAGUGUUGGAGGAAUUCAGUGCUGCAGUUAACGCAAUAAGUUCUCCGCCUGGGGAGUAUGCACGCAAGUGUGAAACUCAAAGGAAUUGACGGGGGCCCGCACAAGCGGUGGAGUAUGUGGUUUAAUUCGAAGCAACGCGAAGAACCUUACCAGGCCUUGACAUGGAAACAAAUACCCUAGAGAUAGGGGGAUAAUUAUGGAUCACACAGGUGGUGCAUGGUUGUCGUCAGCUCGUGUCGUGAGAUGUUGGGUUAAGUCCCGCAACGAGCGCAACCCUUGUCGCAUGUUACCAGCAUCAAGUUGGGGACUCAUGCGAGACUGCCGGUGACAAACCGGAGGAAGGUGGGGAUGACGUCAAAUCAUCAUGCCCCUUAUGGCCUGGGCUACACACGUACUACAAUGGCGACCACAAAGAGCAGCGACACAGUGAUGUGAAGCGAAUCUCAUAAAGGUCGUCUCAGUUCGGAUUGAAGUCUGCAACUCGACUUCAUGAAGUCGGAAUCGCUAGUAAUCGCAGAUCAGCAUGCUGCGGUGAAUACGUUCUCGGGCCUCGCACACGCCGCCCGUC
rnacentral:rRNA from 1 species